GGGAAAGUGGCUGAGUGGUUAAAGGCGGCAGACUGUAAAUCUGUUGAAGAUUCUUCUACGUAGGUUCGAAUCCUGCUUUUCCCA
rnacentral:tRNA from 1 species